rnacentral:lncRNA from 1 species
UAAAAUGUACAUAUCAGCAAUAAUAUAUAUUUUUUUGAAAAUAACCCAAGUUCAUUAAAGCAUCUAUAAUAAACCCCAACUAAGAACCAUCUUCCUCAAUGGACAUCAAAGCUGUUUUCACCUUCUGGGCAUCCGCUUUCAGGAUGUCUGGUCCAUUGACGUUUGAGAGUAUAUACUGCAUCGCACUUCAGUUGCCCAACAAUCCAGCUAAGUAAGGUGAACGACACCCUUGUAACCCACCAGAGAACACUAGCAACACUGUUCCUGAAGAAUCUCGGAUGACUGCUCCGUACCCUGCCUCAGAACCGACAUCGAAAAUAGUUCCAUCAACAUUGUAUUUCCAAAGUCCUGAUGCUGGAGCUUGUCAUACAGAGGGAAUGGGUGAAGUUUGUUGUUGUUGCACGUUACAUAUAUCACGGAUUUCCUUCGCUUGUCUCCGUUCAGUUAAAGAAUUUCCUCAUUAAGAAGAUGGACGUCUGAUAGGCAAACUUCCUUCUUGUCUACAGAAAUUCAUUCCGUUCCAGCGAGGUACGCCAUAAGCAGCAAAGUAUUUCCACUAUUGCCUACUUCGGUAGGUUCUUGACGUUUAGCUCCGUCCAUCCAAGCAAACCUCUUAGCUGAGUUGACUGUAAUUGAAUGCCCAGUAACCUCCAGCAGCCUCUAGCUUUUUCACAUUCAAAG